rnacentral:lncRNA from 1 species
AUCAAGUUAUAUUAUGUUUUUAAAAUAAAAAAGUGAAAAAAAUAGCAGCUACAGAAAAAAAAAAUUAAAAAAUCAUUUUAACGUCGUCAGCAAAACACUAAACCCUAAAUCCUAAUCCCUAAACCCUAAAUCCUAAACCCUAAAUCCUAAACUCUAAACCCUUGGGUUAAUCCUAAACUCUAAAUAAAAACACUAAACCCUAAAACUCUAAACCCU